rnacentral:rRNA from 1 species
AUACGGAGGAUGCGAGCGUUAUCCGGAUUUAUUGGGUUUAAAGGGAGCGUAGGUGGGAUAUUAAGUCAGCUGUGAAAGUUUGGGGCUCAACCUUAAAAUUGCAGUUGAUACUGGUUUCCUUGAGUACGGUACAGGUGGGCGGAAUUCGUGGUGUAGCGGUGAAAUGCUUAGAUAUCACGAAGAACUCCGAUCGCGAAGGCAGCUCACCGGGCCGGAACUGACACUGAUGCUCGAAAGUGCGGGUAUCAAACAGGAUUAGAUACCCUGGUAGUCCGCACAGUAAACGAUGAAUACUCGCUGUUUGCGAUACACAGUAAGCGGCCAAGCGAAAGCGUUAAGUAUUCCACCUGGGGAGUACGCCGGCAACGGUGAAACUUAAAGGAAUUGGCGGGG